UGCCCUGAUCAGCAUCUGAACUAAUAGAGAAGAAACAUAAUUUCUGGUUUGUUUUCUUAUUUUCAGAUAUGACAAAAUGAAUGUAUAAGGAUGGGAGAAUUUGGAAGAAAGGAUUCACGAGAAAACCAGCCUCUUGUACAAAGUCCUUCCUCAUCUCCAUCAGUGAUGGGUUGUCUUGUGACAUGAGGUAGUGAAGCUUCUCAUGAGAAGAAGGAUUUGAAAGUGGGAGCCUAACAAGAUAGAGGACUUCAUCACUCCGACCAAACACACACUGUGGAGCCCCAAGCAGAAGCUGGCAUAACUCACAUCUCUGCUACCGUGGAGUUUUCCAGCUGUCCCAUGUCUCGGCAGCGCCUUGCCUACUGCAGAGUGUUCAACCAGAUCCUCUCCUUCACUGCAAGGUUAAAAGCCAGUUUCUCUGCCAGCUUCAUGCUUUGUGGUUCUAGGAUGCAAAUCUAGGAGAACUCCAGAACUUCAGAGAUUUGAGA
rnacentral:lncRNA from 1 species